rnacentral:rRNA from 1 species
GACGAACGCUGGCGGCGUGCUUAACACAUGCAAGUCGAACGGAAAGGCCCUGCUUUUGUGGGGUGCUCGAGUGGCGAACGGGUGAGUAACACGUGAGUAACCUGCCCUUGACUUUGGGAUAACUUCAGGAAACUGGGGCUAAUACCGGAUAGGAGCUCCUGCUGCAUGGUGGGGGUUGGAAAGUUUCGGCGGUUGGGGAUGGACUCGCGGCUUAUCAGCUUGUGGGUGGGGUAGUGGCUUACCAAGGCUUUGACGGGUAGCCGGCCUGGGAGGGUGACCGGCCACCUUGGGCCUGAGGUACGGCCCAGACUGCUACGGUAGGCAGCAGUGGGGAAUAUUGCACAGUGGGCGGGAGCCUGAUGCAGCAACGCCGCGUGCGGGAUGACGGCCUUCGGGUUGUAAACCGCUUUCGCCUGUGACGAAGCGUGAGUGACGGUAAUGGGUAAAGAAGCACCGGCUAACUACGUG